rnacentral:rRNA from 1 species
AGAGUUUGAUCCUGGCUCAGAUUGAACGCUGGCGGCAGGCCUAACACAUGCAAGUCGAGCGGUAGCACAGAGAGCUUGCUCUCGGGUGACGAGCGGCGGACGGGUGAGUAAUGUCUGGGAAACUGCCUGAUGGAGGGGGAUAACUACUGGAAACGGUAGCUAAUACCGCAUAACGUCGCAAGACCAAAGUGGGGGACCUUCGGGCCUCAUGCCAUCAGAUGUGCCCAGAUGGGAUUAGCUAGUAGGUGGGGUAAUGGCUCACCUAGGCGACGAUCCCUAGCUGGUCUGAGAGGAUGACCAGCCACACUGGAACUGAGACACGGUCCAGACUCCUACGGGAGGCAGCAGUGGGGAAUAUUGCACAAUGGGCGCAAGCCUGAUGCAGCCAUGCCGCGUGUAUGAAGAAGGCCUUCGGGUUGUAAAGUACUUUCAGCGAGGAGGAAGGCGUUAAGGUUAAUAACCUUGGCGAUUGACGUUACUCGCAGAAGAAGCACCGGCUAACUCCGUGCCAGCAGCCGCGGUAAUACGGAGGGUGCAAGCGUUAAUCGGAAUUACUGGGCGUAAAGCGCACGCAGGCGGUCUGUCAAGUCGGAUGUGAAAUCCCCGGGCUCAACCUGGGAACUGCAUUCGAAACUGGCAGGCUAGAGUCUUGUAGAGGGGGGUAGAAUUCCAGGUGUAGCGGUGAAAUGCGUAGAGAUCUGGAGGAAUACCGGUGGCGAAGGCGGCCCCCUGGACAAAGACUGACGCUCAGGUGCGAAAGCGUGGGGGAGCAAACAGGAUUAGAUACCCUGGUAGUCCACGCCGUAAACGAUGUCGACUUGGAGGUGUGCCCUUGAGGCGUGGCUCGAGCUACGCGUAGUCGACGCUGGGGAGUACGCGCAGUAAACUCAAGGAAUGACGG